AUAAACCCGGGAAACUGGGUAUAAUACCCGAUAGAUCUCGGCUGCUGGAAUGCAUCGAGCUCUAAAGCUCCGGCGCCUUAGGAUGGGUCUGCGGCCUAUCAGGUAGUAGUGGGUGUAGCGUACCUACUAGCCUACGACGGGUACGGGUUGUGAGAGCAAGAGCCCGGAGAUGGAUUCUGAGACACGAAUCCAGGCCCUACGGGGUGCAGCAGGCGCGAAAACUUUACAAUGCCGGCAACGGCGAUAAGGGGACCUCGAGUGCCAGGUUACAAAUCUGGCUGUCGUGAUGCCUAAAAAGCAUUGCAUAGCAAGGGCCGGGCAAGACCGGUGCCAGCCGCCGCGGUAACACCGGCGGCUCGAGUGGUAACCGUUAUUAUUGGGUCUAAAGGGUCUGUAGCCGGCCGGAUAAGUCUCUUGGGAAAUCCAGCAGCUUAACUGUUGGGCUUUCAGGAGAUACUGUCUGGCUCGAGGCCGGGAGAGGUGAGAGGUACUUCAGGGGUAGGGGUGAAAUCUUGUAAUCCUUGAAGGACCACCAGUGGCGAAGGCGUCUCACCAGAACGGACCUGACGGCAAGGGACGAAAGCUAGGGGCACGAACCGGAUUAGAUACCCGGGUAGUCCUAGCCGUAAACGAUACUCGCUAGGUGUCGGCAACGGUGCGACCGUUGUCGGUGCCGUAGGGAAGCCGUGAAGCGAGCCACCUGGGAAGU
rnacentral:rRNA from 1 species